AACACGCCACCCAAAAAGAGCACCAAGCAAAGGAUAUUAUUGUACUUUAAACACAAAUACAAAAUCAAUGGGGGGUUCGUCAGAGACAGUUUUUGCAAGAACCAGUGCAGCUUUAAGUUGUUUAUCAUUGUUUGCUGGGCUCUGGAAACCUAACCUGAAUCGCGAAGAAAGCCCUUGAACAUAAGAAGGAAAUCGAUAAGCGUUUGGGUCGUCCCUUUAUCCAAACAAACCCUCAUGAGGG
rnacentral:lncRNA from 1 species